CCUACGGGUGGCAGCAGUGAGGAAUAUUGGUCAAUGGGCGAGAGCCUGAACCAGCCAAGUCGCGUGAAGGAUGACGGCCCUACGGGUUGUAACCUUCUUUUUUCAGGGAGCAAUUAAGUCCACGUUUGGGCUUAGCGAGAGUACCUGAAGAAAAAGCAUCGGCUACCUCCGUUCCAGCAGCCGCGGUAAUACGGAGAAUGCGAGCGUUAUCCGGAUUUAUUGGUUUUAAAGGGUGCGUAGGCUGAAUAUAAAGUCAGCGGUAAAAAUUCGGGGCUAAACCCCGUCGUGCCGUUGAAACUGAUGUUCUUGAGUGGGCGAGAAGUAUGCGGAAUGCGUGGUGUAGCGGUGAAAUGCAUAGAUAUCACGCAGAACUCCGAUUGCGAAGGCAGCAUACCGGCGCCCAACUGACGCUGAAGCACGAAAGCGUGGGUAUCGAACAGGAUUAGAUACCCUUGUAGUC
rnacentral:rRNA from 1 species